rnacentral:rRNA from 1 species
CCCUUAGAUGUUCUGGGCCGCACGCGCGCUACACUGAUGCAUUCAACGAGCCUAUCCUUGACCGACAGGUCCGGGUAAUCUUUGAAUCUGCAUCGUGACGGGGAUAGAUUAUUGCAAUUAUUAAUCUUCAACGAGGAAUGCCUAGUAGGCGCAAGUCAUCAGCUUGCGUCGAUUACGUCCCUGCCCUUUGUACACACCGCCCGUCGCACCUACCGAUUGAAUGGUCCGGUGAGAAUUUUGGAUUGAUGUUUAGUCGGAUUAACGUCAGACUUUACGUUGAGAAGUUAUUCAAACCUUACCAUUUAGAGGAAGGUGAAGUCGUAACA